rnacentral:misc_RNA from 1 species
CUGUAACAUAAAGUUUACAGCAAAUAAAUUAAAACAAGAACAAGGAAGAAAAAGGGAAAACAAAAGCAAAGCAAAGAAAGCAUCCCACCACCAAACUGUCUCACCAGACACUAAUACUUGACACAGCUGGCAACCAUACAAGGCCAUAAUGUCCAUUUUUAUCUUCUGCAAUAAGGACAACCUGUGAUCUUACUAAUGCAAAGCGAUUACCUUACUUUGAUCUAAAUUGAUUUCAAGAAUCAUUUUCCUUAUCAUUAAAGCAUCAAGAAUGCCCCACACAGCAUUACAUGUCUCUGUUUCUUUAUAAUUAAAUAUCUGAAAAUUUUAAAAGUUCCUUUCUGAUUAUAUGGAGCACACAGCACUGAUCCGACUUAAGUGUUAAUUCAACAAUCAUUAUCCCAAUCUGGGUCCUAUUAAAAGUUUUAUAGGAAAAAUGGGUCUUGUCUUGAACCCCUUGUACCUUCCCAUCUAGCUCUGUCCUACUCCUCUCACUCCAGCAGCUUCGUGUAACCACCACCGUAACCAUAAAUGUGACAGUUCAAGCAAAGAAUAAAAAAAUAUAUAGAAAGAGAUGCUCAAAAUCAAACUUUUAAAUUCAUUCCAAUGAAAAAGUGCCCAUUUCCAGGUUUCAUCUAAGUGGGACUGUGGAUUUGAACGAGCAUAAAAUCGAACUUGAGUACCUGGAGAGGGGAGAUAUGGGC